AGCUUUGCGCAGUGGCAGUAUCGUAGCCAAUGAGGUUUAUCCGAGGCGCGAUUAUUGCUAAUUGAAAAAUACACAUUAUAUAGAAAACAGAGUGGUGAAAAACUGUGUAACUAUAAAUAUAUGUAGUGUCAAAAGACA